UAGGGAAUCUUCCACAAUGGACGCAAGUCUGAUGGAGCAACGCCGCGUGAGUGAAGAAGGCUUUCGGGUCGUAAAACUCUGUUAUUGAAGAAGAACGUGUGUGACAGUAACUGGUCAUGCAGUGACGGUAUUCAAUCAGAAAGUCACGGCUAACUACGUGCCAGCAGCCGCGGUAAUACGUAGGUGGCAAGCGUUGUCCGGAUUUAUUGGGCGUAAAGCGAGUGCAGGCGGUCUUUUAAGUCUGAUGUGAAAGCCUUCGGCUUAACCGAAGAAGGGCAUCGGAAACUGGGAGACUUGAGUGCAGAAGAGGAGAGUGGAACUCCAUGUGUAGCGGUGAAAUGCGUAGAUAUAUGGAAGAACACCAGUGGCGAAGGCGGCUCUCUGAUCUGUAACUGACGCUGAGGCUCGAAAGCGUGGGUAGCAAACAGGAUUAGAUACCCUGGUAGUCCAC
rnacentral:rRNA from 1 species